AGAGACUUAGGAUAAAUCUAGACCUAGGACCUUCAAAGCCCUCAGCGGGAGUUAAAAUCUCCCAGUCCCUG
rnacentral:tRNA from 1 species